UGCGGAUCUUCAUUAGCUUGCUUUUGAAGAUCAGCGGCGGACGGGUGAGUAACACGUGGGCAACCUGCCUGUAAGACUGGGAUAACUUCGGGAAACCGGAGCUAAUACCGGAUAAUCCUUUCCCUCACAUGAGGGAAAGCUGAAAGACGGUUUCGGCUGUCACUUACAGAUGGGCCCGCGGCGCAUUAGCUAGUUGGUGAGGUAAUGGCUCACCAAGGACGAUGCGUAGCCGACCUGAGAGGGUGAUCGGCCACACUGGGACUGAGACACGGCCCAGACUCCUACGGGAGGCAGCAGUAGGGAAUCUUCCGCAAUGGACGAAAGUCUGACGGAGCAACGCCGCGUGAACGAUGAAGGCUUUCGGGUCGUAAAGUUCUGUUGUCAGGGAAGAACAAGUACCGGAGUAACUGCCGGUACCUUGACGGUAUGACCAGAAAGCCACGGCUAACUACGUGCCAGCAGCCGCGGUAAUACGUAGGUGGCAAGCGUUGUCCGGAAUUAUUGGGCGUAAAGCGCGCGCAGGCGGUUCCUUAAGUCUGAUGUGAAAGCCCCCGGCUCAACCGGGGAGGGUCAUUGGAAACUGGGGAACUUGAGUGCAGAAGAGGAGAGCGGAAUUCCACGUGUAGCGGUGAAAUGCGUAGAGAUGUGGAGGAACACCAGUGGCGAAGGCGGCUCUCUGGUCUGUAACUGACGCUGAGGCGCGAAAGCGUGGGGAGCGAACAGGAUUAGAUACCCUGGUAGUCCACGCCGUAAACGAUGAGUGCUAAGUGUUAGAGGGUUUCCGCCCUUUAGUGCUGCAGCAAACGCAUUAAGCACUCCGCCUGGGGAGUACGGCCGCAAGGCUGAAACUCAAAGGAAUUGACGGGGGCCCGCACAAGCGGUGGAGCAUGUGGUUUAAUUCGAAGCAACGCGAAGAACCUUACCAGGUCUUGACAUCCUCUGACAACCCUAGAGAUAGGGCGUUCCCCUUCGGGG
rnacentral:rRNA from 1 species